rnacentral:rRNA from 1 species
CCUACGGGUGGCUGCAGUGGGGAAUAUUGGACAAUGGGCGAAAGCCUGAUCCAGCCAUGCCGUGUGUGUGAAGAAGGCCUUCGGGUUGUAAAGCACUUUCAGUGGGGAAGAAAGCCUUGGGGCUAAUACCCUCGAGGAAGGACAUCACCCACAGAAGAAGCACCGGCUAACUCCGUGCCAGCAGCCGCGGUAAUACGGAGGGUGCGAGCGUUAAUCGGAAUUACUGGGCGUAAAGCGCGCGUAGGCGGUCUGAUAAGCCGGUUGUGAAAGCCCCGGGCUCAACCUGGGAACGGCAUCCGGAACUGUCAGGCUAGAGUGCAGGAGAGGAAGGUAGAAUUCCCGGUGUAGCGGUGAAAUGCGUAGAGAUCGGGAGGAAUACCAGUGGCGAAGGCGGCCUUCUGGACUGACACUGACGCUGAGGUGCGAAAGCGUGGGUAGCAAACAGGAUUAGAUACCCCAGUAGUC